UCCAAUCGGCAGCCAUAUAUUUCAGAUUCUUUCAUUCUGGUUAGAAAAUAAUAAUGUAUUGAGGGAUUUAUAAUAUUGAUCAAGUAGUACCAUGUUGAGAAGAUAAAUGGAUGGAUGGCAUUGAUCCUUGGUUGGAUGAGAUGACUCUACUGCCUGCAUGUAGCUCUGAGAAUGGAGGUUCAGGAAGAAGCACAAACAUCUUUGCAAUGACUAGAAAAAGCAUGGAUGUUGAGUGUGUAGAAUGGGUUUACAAAGCUGCUGUCAAUUUGCUGAGAUUUUGGAAGUAAAUGAUUCCUCAAUGAACGCUGAGAAUAGGAUGGAAGAUAAGAAUCUGCACAUAAUUUUCGCAACCCUGUGGCAUUGAUUGCUUGCCCUUCUUGGAUCCAGGCGGCUCCAGAGUUCGGACUCUCAAUAUCACGGUCCACUUUACUGCAUCUUAUCUGAUCAAGCUUCUCAGAACCAUCUUGCGCUGAUGCUGCUGGGCAACGUGACGUGCCAGUCAUAU